ensembl:lncRNA
CGCCGCAUGACAUGAAGGCGGCUUCAGAGCACCUGGCGUCUUUCACGCUGCGCCGCAGCAACUGUAUUCGCUCCCACGUUGUCCGCCCAGUGCUCAUUUAAGUUCCUUUUGUGUCCCAGACGCUCACUGGUAUGGCUGCGUACUAAUCUCCACCUGAUGCACUCAAUGUCCACGCUGGUAAUCCUCGUGGUAGCGUCGAUCCCUCCGACCCACGCUGAUUGUCUGAAGCGUCCUGACCGGUGCUGAGUCUGCGGUGGCGGAUUGGUGUCCCAGGUGGUGGUGUCCGUUAUGUUUAGCAUGUUUGAGUUGCUUCACUUAGUUUCACCGUCCAUCAAGUCUCUGCCCUGAUUGGUUCCCCCGUUGCUUGUUCCAGAGUGAAGAGGUUUUUACACCGUUAAUUUAAUAAAAUUACAUUGUGUUUUAAAUUAAGUCUCAUUUGCGACGAACCUGAGUGCCUCCCCUUAGUUUUGUUUGGA